CCCUUAGAUGUCCUGGGCUGCACGCGCGCUACACUGAUGUGUCCAGUAAGCACCUAACCUCUUCCGAAAGGAACGGGUAACCUUUGCAAAGCACAUCGUGAUGGGGAUAGAUUAUUGCAAUUAUUAGUCUUGAACGAGGAAUUCCUAGUAAGCACAAGUCAUCAGCUUGUGUUGAUUACGUCCCUGCCCUUUGUACACACAGCCCGUCGCUCCUACCGAUUGAAUGUUCCGGUGAGCUCUUCGGACUGCGCGGUCUGCAGUUUCUGCGUUCCGUGCGGAAAGUUGCGCAAACCUUAACAUUUAGAGGAAGGAGAAGUCGUAACA
rnacentral:rRNA from 1 species